rnacentral:lncRNA from 10 species
CCUCAGCGUACAUGCCAGCUAAUUACAGAUGCAGGAGCAAACCCCUGGCCCAUACAUCACUUGCCCUGUGCUCUGUCAAAACUACCAGGCACAGGAACCAGGGAAGGAGAAGAGGAAUGGGAAGAACCCCAAGAUAAAAUGCCUCAGACAACCACAGUUCCUUCCCAGGGUUGAAUAGUUUUGCUUUAAUAAAUGCUUCUCAAUUUGCUAUAUGCCCUUGUUGGGUUCUAGAGUCCUAACAAGGUUGUUUUU